UAGUAAAAUAAAAAGACAACGUUAAAAUAAUCAGUAUAUGUGGUUUUAACUUAAAAUAUUGUAGAAUCACACAAUGUCUUUUAUUUCUACAAUAAUUUACAUACAAUCUAUUAUUGAUAUCUUAAAUCAAACUAACAAACUCAUUUUGAUUAAAUUAUAUUUGAAACUCUAUCAUGCAGCAUGUUAGAAUACAAUAUAUAAAUUUAGAUUUAACAAUAAUAAUAUUUGUUCUAACACAGGCACACAUAUAAUUAUAUACAAUCAAUAUUUUUAACAAUCCAUUUAUAAUAGCAUGAGUGAUGUGAAAUUAUAUACAGUCAUGAACAUUGUAAGGAAAUGUACAAGUUUGCAUAGAACCAUAGAUAUUAGAGGACCUAGAAACUAAAAUGAAAUUGUGGGCGUGGCUAUGCUAAGUCUAAGAUUGCGCAUGCUCAGUAGAUCUAGAGCUGUGAAACCAUGUGCUCCAAGAAAAGAGAAGACGAUUACCCUUUCUAUAUGCUGGACAUUUGCUGCUAUAAAUCCGACUGUGAUGAUACUUCUGUGAGAGGUAUGACUGUGACUACACCAAGUGGAUGAUGAUACUUUUAGUUCUGUGAGAGGUAUGACUGUGACUACACCAAGUGGAUGAUGAUACUUCUGUGAGAGAAAUUCCUUAAACUGGCAAGCUUGACAUGCGAGAACAAACGAAACAAACAGACGAAUGGAUAGAAGUGGCGUCAUUGUUGGAUAUCCUCUCGGUGAUUGAUAAUACACGGUGGACUCUGUGUGGUCAAGAGUGAUCGGUCUGCUAUACUUGUGAGUCCAGUAUGUUACACCAAGAAGAACUAUUCCUUGGGCUAAUUAAUUUAAAACUGUCCUUUUAAUUUAACAUUGUAUACCAUUGUCUCACUCAGUUGUCACGAACGUUUCCUAUCACUAUUUUUGUAUUAACAUGUUAUUUAUUGAAUUGAAUAAUAAUUGUUAUACCGA